AAAAACACUCAGAAAAAAAAAAAAUAAUAAGGUUCUCAUAAUUCAUGCAUGAAAGGGUUAAUAUUUUGAAUGUUCAUAUCUAGAUAUCAAUACAAUAACAAUAUAUCUUUCAGCCCUAUUUUGAAUGCGGUUUCUUUAUCCGGACCGGGCUGCGGGGCGGGACAGCUCCGUCACUCAUGGUUUUAAGGUGGCGAUCGGGGCCUGUUUAGCGCCGUCGGUUUAAUAGUCUGCUGUCAGAGGGCUGUACCUCCCUGUCUGUUCAGGAACGGGGGGGGUAAGAUAGCGGCGACCUGGUGUGUCUGCGCGGGGAUUUUAACGCUAGGUGUAAAUGGGAUUACAUGGUGCUGUAUGUACUGCUGGAAUGUGCUGUUAUUUUCUGAGGCUCUGCUGAUUAAUUUAUGAAUGAAUUAAUUCUCUGUCAAAUGAUGUGAAAUUAGCCGGACUAAUAAGAGACUCUGGAGACUUCCAGUAGCAGCGCUCAGCUUUAUAUAGAUCUAAUGUAUGUGUGUGUGUAGGUAGAAAACAGUCUGGAAACAAACGCAUACACACAUGCACCGGUGCAAAACAUCAGUGCUAACAGUUCUUGCCCUUGAGUGAAAAAAAAAAAAAAAAAAAAACAUAUGCAAUGGAUGACGGUGUGAACAUGUCUCCAUAGUAACGCUACAUCCACAGCUCCAGUGUAGUAACAUCAAAACAUAGUAAAAUAACCUCGCACAAGGUCAGACUAGCUUAAAACAGAUGCAUCACCCUGAGCGUUCAGAUACCUUGACCAGAGAAAGCACAAGACAAACAAAACAGGGCAAAAAAAAAACAAACAAACAAAAUAAACCUUUACAGCAGAAAACCAAGCAUCACAAGAUAACACGUAUGUAAUGUAUCGUCACAGGCCGCUAGUGAAGCGUGGUGUGGGGUUAGAGAAGACCACGGAAGGUACGACAGCGGCUCAUUUUGUCAAAACAUGUCGAGACGAGACGCACGCCAUCGCCCCGUUUCAAAUGUUUUGCUUUUUUUUUUUUUUUUGCUCCAUUACCUCGAAGAACGUUUUUUUUUUUUUUUUUUAACUAUACAUCAGCAUUAAGCGGCGACACCACAGUUAAUUCCAACCCCGGUGUGUCUCCCCCUAGCCCACCGCCACGCCUCGCUAAACCUCCCGACCAAGUCAAUCUGUAUUUUUUAAAGAGAUGGAGAUAAAGUACGAGGAUUGUACGAGUGAGUGUUUUUUUUGACAAGCUGUUGCACAAUAAUGUAAAGUUCCCUCCUCCUCAUCCUCAUCUGCCUCAUUCUGUCUUUACUAUUGUGUUUCUCUUUUCCUCUUCCUGUCUGUCAACAGUGGAAAUUUGCACAUGUAAGAUUCAUGCAAUAAUGUAAACUGUAUAGCACUGUUUGUUCAUCUCUGCCAGCAGUGAUUCUAACUGUGCUUAUGGUAACGUACUACUGUUCAAUGUCUGGGGGCAAAAAAAAAUAAUAAUAAAUUGGAGAAAAAGUAUACACCGCUUGAAAAUGUUAUUUGUUUCAGAAAGGGGGGGGGGAUAUAACGGUGACCUAUUCCUGAGCUUAUGCUGUCUAGAGGUGAACUGCCGCAGAGAGUAUGAAAAUAGGGUUUGUGACAUUUCUAUUCUCUUUGUACUGCUUUCCUUUUGUGUGUUUAUGUACUCUCAGUUUACCAGGCGUGACUGCCUGCAGACGCAAAAUGUCUCCGCUGAAUUAAACUGCCCGGGUUUAUUUUCCAUUUUCUUUAAUAUUCGCGUUUUAAAUCCUAGUUUUGCUUAAAAUCCAUUUUCAUUUACAUAAUUAGUUUACAUUUACCUGUUCGAUAUUCCAGUAAAUGUCUUAGGAGAGACGGCGAAUCGGAGCGCACAAAAAAGGGAAACUUAAUAGGAUCAAAUAAAAGCGAUAAUUGUUGCCGUUAUGUCUGUACUUACAAAUAAAGUUCACUAUAAAUC